UAAUAGUAAUUGCAAGGAGAGAGACACUACUGGAUACAGGGACACAAGUGGGAGCACAAGUACAGUGUACUUGCAGCAUUGUCUGAACCAAUGACCAAGCAAAAAAAUAAGAAAAACAGGGUAGAAAGAAAGGAGUCUCGGAACUAAACAGGUUCAGCCAUGCCAAAAACACAAAUCCAAGAGAUCUGCUUCAUCAGCACGGAUCCGAGAUCUAGAAGAAAGAAUUGAACAAAAGGAUAGAGAGGGAUGCAAAUGACAAGUAGCUAUGGCAUCAAGAGGAGUUAGCUGCGAGACUUGUAGCACAAGAGACAACACUUGAAGAGAUGGGGAUGAAGUAGCAAGAAAAGUAGUGUAAUGAGCCAGCAAGACAAGAAUGAAGCUUGGGAAAAGAAGCAACGUGAUGAAAUGCCAUCCUUUUGUGAUGAAAGAUUGGUGCUGAACAAACACUGCAAUCAACCAGGACAACACUUUUGUGGUCUUUAGUUAUCUAAAUAUUACUUUUCAACAUGUAUAUUGUCAUGAUUGUCAAACUUGUGAAUCGGU